rnacentral:rRNA from 1 species
CGAGGAAUAUUGCGCAAUGGGCGAAAGCCUGACGCAGUAACGCCGCGUGAGGGAAGAAGGCCUUCGGGUCGUAAACCUCUUUUCGGAGGGACGAGGAAGGACGGUACCUCUGGAAUAAGUCUCGGCUAACUACGUGCCAGCAGCCGCGGUAAAACGUAGGAGGCGAGCGUUAUCCGGAUUCACUGGGCGUAAAGCGCGUGUAGGUGGUUCGUUAAGUCGAAUGUGAAAGCCCCUGGCUCAACUGGGGGAGGUCAUUCGAAACUGGCGGACUUGAGGGUAGCAGAGGAGAGUGGAAUUCCCGGUGUAGCGGUGGAAUGCGUAGAGAUCGUGAGGAACACCAGUGGCGAAGGCGGCUCUCUGGGCUACAUCUGACACUGAGACGCGAAAGCGUGGGGAGCGAACGG